GCUCAUCAUUAUGGCUUUUAUUGGUCAGGACUUCAUAUAAUCUUAAUAAAACAUUAUUUUCAACUGAAUAUAUUUUAUGUAAUGCAAAAAAGGUUAAAGAUAUCACAUUUGUUAACGUUUAGAAAAACUGUAGGAAUUGCGCGCCCCUUCUUUAAAAAAUAUUGGUACGUUCUUUUCAAUUGCGCUGCGAGCGUACGUUGAGGCACAAGAAGAACGGGAAACCUGAUCCGUAUAACAUGAAGUGGACCAAUUUCGGUGGUAAUUGAUCGGAUUAUUCUACUUUAAGAAAAGGAAACACCACACUACGGCAUAAUUUCAUUUUUUCCCCUUCGAAGAGGAGGAUGGUGGCCGGGUAGUCACAACUUCGGACACGCUGCUGUUCCUUGGCACGCGCACUGAUCCAGUUGGUGAGGCAGCAGUAGCAGGGUUCUGAUCCUGAGGAGAUGACGGAGGUGGUAGAGCCCAAGCUGGACUUUGCAUCCUCGGGUCGCUCGGGGAGAAGGAAUGCCCUUCCUGACAUCCUGGGUUCACCGGCUGGGGUCAACCCCACUGACCUGCAACUCAAAUUGUCCGAGCUCCACCUCACAGAUGGUCUGGGAGAAGCCCAGUCUCCCACGGCAGAGGAGGCCCCACUCCCUACAGAGAGCUCUGAGAGGAAUGAGGGAUCAUAAGGCUGUCUGGGGGGAGGCCCCUAACUAGCCCCGAUGUUUAUCUCCGGUGAAGCUGAUGAGAACUGGAGAAGAGGGAUGGAUGGGUAGAAUGAUACAGAAGGACCGAUGAAGGAGAGUGAUGGGCCUGUUUUGAACAGCAGCUGAGCUGCAGAGAGAAGGAUGAUGAUUGAGACCAUUCCCUGUCCAUCCUAUCACCCAAUCUGAAAAGACUCUUAAGAAAAGUGUUGGUGUGUGGGUGGAAAGAUCACCUCUACUCCAACACACUGCCAUGAGAAACAAUGGAUGUAUGCUGAUUACAUACUGUUGUACACUACACAUUUUUAUGAUUCGAUCAAGACUCAAAACAUUCAGCAACGGAGAAGUCACAAGUGAAAAAAUAAAAAAUGUACAAUAUC